rnacentral:rRNA from 1 species
UACGUAGGGUCCGAGCGUUGUCCGGAGUUACUGGGCGUAAAGCGCGCGCAGGCGGCUCGUCAAGACUGGCGUGAAAGCCCCCGGCUCAACCGGGGAGGGUCGUCGGUGACUGGCGGGCUUGAGGGUGGCAGGGGCUGGUGGAAUGCCUGGUGUAGUGGUGAAAUGCGUAGAGAUCAGGCGGAACACCCGUGGCGAAGGCGGCCAGCUGGGCCACAUCUGACGCUGAGGCGCGAAGGCGUGGGGAGCGAACGGGAUUAGAUACCCCGGUAGUCCACGCAGUAAACGAUGCAGACUAGGCGUGGGGGGACUUGACCCCUUCCGUGCCGGAGCCAACGCGGUAAGUCUGCCGCCUGGGGAGUACGGCCGCAAGGCUAAA